rnacentral:rRNA from 1 species
AGGUGUUCACCUCUUCCCAUUCCGAACAGAGAAGUUAAGCCCUUCAUCGCCGAUGAUACUGCACUGGUUUGUGGGAAAGUAGGCCGCCGCCAAUC